rnacentral:rRNA from 1 species
UACGUAGGGUGCAAGCGUUAAUCGGAAUUACUGGGCGUAAAGCGUGCGCAGGCGGCUUUGCAAGACAGAUGUGAAAUCCCCGGGCUUAACCUGGGAACUGCAUUUGUGACUGCAUGGCUAGAGUGCGGCAGAGGGGGAUGGAAUUCCGCGUGUAGCAGUGAAAUGCGUAGAUAUGCGGAGGAACACCGAUGGCGAAGGCAAUCCCCUGGGCCUGCACUGACGCUCAGGCACGAAAGCGUGGGAAGCAAAAGGG